AUAAUAAAAGAAAGAGAAGAGAAAAGAGAAAAGAGAGAGAAGAAGUAUAUAUUAGUAUAGUCAAAUGCAUUUUGAAUCGUUCCAUUCCCUAUAUGUUCCGUUCCAUUCCGUUCAAGCAAAGUGUUUAUUUUUUA
rnacentral:ribozyme from 14 species